AAAAAGAACAGAAAUCAUUAAAACGAAAAACAUUAUUGAAAGUAACAUUCGAUAAAUAUUGAUGGAAGAUAAAUCAUUCAAAAAGAAAAAACAAAACAAAAAAAAGAACAAGAAAAGGAACAACAAAACUAUAAUCUCAUAUCACACAACAGCUGACUAGAUAUUGAAAUGAAAGAGGAAGAGAGAGAGAGAGAGAGAGAGAGAGAGAAAGUGAGAAGAAAAGUGUAUAAGCUAAGAUUGUAAGUUUACAAAUCAUCCCGGAUCUCUUCUUGCUUCACCUACUCUUGCUUACUGUUUAGCUGCAAGGGACAGAAAGAGAUAGACAGAUGGACAGAGUGAAAAAGAAAGAGAGAAAGAGAGAAAGAGAGAGAGAGAGAGAGAGAGAAAGAGAGAGAAGACAAAAAGGAAGAGAAGAGAAAGAGUAGGGAGAGAUGCGGAACCGGAGAGAAAGUGAACCGGAGAAGAAGAAAUAGAGAGUAAAGAAAAGGGAGAGUAAGAGCAGCAGCAGCAGCAGCAGCAGCAGCACAACCGGUGUGUGUUGUUGACCACUGCCUGGUAGGAUUCAGAAAAUGAAGAGCAGAACGAGAUCUCCAGGAAAAUGGAAGCAAAACAGGAAGAAACUGAAGGAAGAGUAAGAGGAUGAGGUGGAAGUGGAAGAGAAGGUGGAGAUGGAGGAAUAGUAGUAGGAGUAGGAGGAGUAGGCCAUCGAAUAGAGAUACACACCAACGGUGAAUAUAAACAUAGUGAACAACGACUUUACCUUCGGGCUUCUUCUCUCUAACAUCAGAGAAAGGGGUUAUAUCUUCGAUCCUUCCUUGUAUUUCAAUCGAUAUAUGCACGAUAAUAUCCUUUAUUCAGUAACUUUAUUACAUCCUUCUUUUAUAUAUCCUUUUUUGUUUACUCUUGCUUACCACUUUUAUGUAGCUCAAGAUUUUAAGAAAUCAGAUACUCCAAUAUAUAAUUUCUUUAACAACGUACAAUAACGCGCGAGUUCUAGUUUGUUUGUUUGUUAAGUUGUUUAUUUGUUUGUUUGUAGGUAAUACCAAAGGCGAUUUCCUUAUCCUUAUUAUUAUUAUUAUUAUUAUUAUUAUUAUUAUUAUUGUUAUUAUUAUCACUGUUGUUAUCAUUAUCAUCAUCAUCAUCAUCAUCAUCAUCAUCAUCAUUAUUAUUAUUCUCGAAGAAAAUAGAUGUAAUUUAAAUGUCUCGCUGAAAUAAAUAGUUAAUCAUCGGA